ensembl:misc_RNA Metazoa_SRP Metazoan signal recognition particle RNA
GCCAGGCAUGGUGGCUCAUGCCUGUAAUCCCAGCACUUUGGGAGGCCGAGGUGGGUGGAUCACCUGAGGUCAGGAAUUUGAGACCAGCCUGGCCAACAUGGUGAAACCCCAUCUCUA